UCGUAGUUGGAGUUCAGAGUGAGCUCAGCCGGUCGGCCUCAUGGGUCAGAACUGGUCGACUCUCUCUUGUUUGUGGAUCCCGCCCGGAGUUAACUCUUCGGGAUGUGGAGUUCACAUCGUUUACCUUGAAAAAAUUAGAGUGUUCAAAGCAGGCGUUUGCUUGAAUAUAUUAGCAUGGAAUAAUGGAAUAGGACCCUGGUUCUAUUUUGUUGGUUUUGAGAACCAGAGUAAUGAUUAAUAGGGAUAGUUGGGGGCAUUCAUAUUUCAUUGUCAGAGGUGAAAUUCUUGGAUUUAUGAAAGAUGAACUUCUGCGAAAGCAUUUGCCAAGGAUGUUUUCAUUAAUCAAGAACGAAAGUUAGGGGAUCGAAGACGAUCAGAUACCGUCGUAGUCUUAACCAUAAACUAUGCCGACUAGGGAUUGGGCGUAGGUUGUUCAUUGACCCGCUCAGCACCUUACGAGAAAUCAAAGUCUUUGGGGUUCCGGGGGGAGUAUGGUCGCAAGGCUCGAAACUUAAAGGAAUUGACGGAGGGGCACCACCAGGAGUGGAGCCUGCGGCUUUAAUUUGACUCAUCACGGGAAAACUUACCAGGUCCAGACAUAGUAAGGAUUGACAGAUUGAGAGCUCUUUCUUGAUUCUAUGGGUGGUGGGUGCAUGGGCGAUUCUUAGCUGGGCGGAGUGAUG
rnacentral:rRNA from 1 species